rnacentral:piRNA from 2 species
UUUGCCUUGCACAAUCCUACAGGAGA